ACCGCACCUGAGUCCCCAGGGCACGGUGUUCGGGCAGACUCCCCCAACUCUCCUUCCCCGCUCCAUCCACCUCGGUUUUAGCCCUUCAGCUUUUAUUCACUUCCAAGUCCCGGACUUCCGGACCUCAAGUAAAUAUCAGAAGGGAGGAGCUUCAACCGGCCGGGAACCCCUCUCUUAUCUCCAGGCCUGGGAAAGCCAAAUCAAGAGAGCCUGCCGCCGCUCAGAACCCGCCAGCUCCGGACCAGUCGCUCCCUCACUCGCAGCUUUCGAAGAGGCCGCUCUGGCAAAACCAAUCACAGCCUCCCUUCUUCCCGUCCGCCGACGCUGUCCAAUCAACGCACACCACCGACUGGUUUCUUACUCUGUGAGUCCAACCUCUUGUCCCCGUUCUUCCCAGGUAGGAAAGAACGAGGAGGAAGCGGUAGGGAUGUUGAGGCCGCAGAGGCGCAAUUUUGGUUACGGACAGGACUGUGAGCCGUUGAUGCCUUCUUCUGAGGAAAGCCGGGAAAGCUCCAGCAUUUCCAUAAUCCUGGGAACCUUUCUUUGCGAAGUACUGACAGGUCUUCGCUGCCAGGGUCCCGCUCCCGGAGGGUGUGCCCCGGUGAGGCCUGACUGGCGGAGGAGGGAAAGCCGCUCAGGGGCUGUAAACCUAGCGGACGUGGCCGUGUAUCCACCCACCCCCCACCGAGGUUUGGGGGUGCCUGCGGCCCGCACAGAGGGCUCUGUACCGGGACGUGAAGUAGGAGACCUAUGGCCACCUGGGCGCGCUCGGUGAGGGCCGGGCCUCCGGCCUGGACCCUGUAGUCUGUGCAAAGAGGGAUUGUUGGCCCUAGAGGCAAGUGGCCUAGAAGUGUGGGACACUGAGGAAGCAGCCUUACUCUCUUUCGGGUCCUCAGCCCAGUCCAAUGUUUCUCCUCGCAGGAUUCCCAGGACCCAAACCCUUUUUUAUCUCUUGGGUAGAAGAGGUGGAAGCGUGGAGCCAGGAGGCCCAGGAUCCAGAGGGUGAGAGCCCAGCAACUGUCAGUAGAGGCAAGGAAAAGGUCACAGAUACUUCACUUCAACAUUUCACAUACUUCACCCAGUAUGUGACUUUUGAGAACCCUCUCUCCUUCUCUCUCGGAUCCUCAGCACACACUACACCUCCAAAGCCUUAUCAUGUCUCCCUGCAUCACAUCUCCAGGAAGGCUCCUAUCCCAUUAGAAAAUUGCUCAAGAGAACAGCCAAGUUGGGCCUUAUAAUACCACUUAAUCAUACUGGACAACCGCAGUUCAAUGCAAAAUAGAGAUUGUGCUUCCAAAGCAGCUAAGGGGUAGGGGAAGCUCAUGUAAUUUGAUUUUUGUUGUGAUUGAAUGAAGACAAACGUUCCUUUUGGAUACUAAUUGUGUGGAUCACAGUGUAAUGGAUAAUACCAUUCAUCAGGUUUUUUUUUUUUUAAAGAAAACUUGUUUUUUCUGCAGCUGUGACGUCAUAAUAAAUAUCUGUUUCCAGAAGUUGUUCCUGUAGAAGCUAGAGUGCAGUCCAAGUGUAGACUUUUGGAUGAUGGCUUUCAGUGGCACCCUGGGAGGUUAUUUAAUGUCCAUUUUGCAAGAGUAUCAUGAACAGGUUCAGGAUUGUAAGCUCCAUGAAGGCUGGGACCAUCACUACCCUCAAUGACUGAGACAGAGUAGGGGCUUAAUAUUGUUGACUCUUCAUUAAUCCCCAGUUUUCAGGGCUAUUCUGCUUAACUUAAAGACAAUGGUUUUCUUCCUGGCUGGUGUGACUCAGUGAAUUGAGCGCCAGCCUUCGCUCAAAGGGUCAUGGGUUCCAUCCCCAGUCAGGGUGCAUGCCUGGGUUAAGAGCCAGGUCUCCCACUAGGGGCGCUGGAUAGGCAACCACACGUGAUGUUUCCCUCUCCCUCUUCCCCUCUCUAAAAAUAAAUAAAUAAAAAUCUUAAAAAAAAAAAAAAAAGACAGUGGCUUUCAAGCCUUACUUCCAGGGGGCCAUAUACUCAGCUAUUCAUGGUGCCUCCCAGGGCAGGUCAUGGUCUGGAACAUGCUGCUAACUUUCAAGUUUUAUCUUUUUCCCUGUCUUAGGAUCCAGGCAUGGGAGCAAGGAGAAAGAAGAGCUGAAGGGGAAGCUCAUUAAAAGAUUCUGCCUUUUAGUCAAUGCACGUGAAAUAUCUGGCAAGGAGAUACAUGUGGCAUGAAGCCUUGUUGGCACUCUGCUCUUAAGACCUAGAGAUGGACAUAGAGAGGAAAAAGGCUCCCAUGCUCACUCUGCUCACAGCAUGCAAAGAUAUCUGCAUGCUCCCUGGAUUUUACAUCUUUUGAAUAAAGAUGUAUUCUUGGGUCACAGAA